CAGGUGCGCUGGCGGCGUGCUUGGACUUGCAGGUCGCAGGGGCAGCCGUGUCAGGGGCGGGCGGGUGAGUAACGCGUAGGGAAGUGUCCAGAGGUGGGGGACAACCCUGGGAAACUGGGGCUAAUACCGCAUAUGGCCUGAGGGCCAAAGCAGCGAUGCGCCUUUGGAGUUACCUGCGUCCGAUUAGCUAGUUGGUGGGGUAAAGGCCUACCAAGGCGACGAUCGGUAGCUGGUCUGAGAGGACGACCAGCCACACUGGGACUGAGACACGGCCCAGACUCCUACGGGAGGCAGCAGUGGGGAAUAUUGGACAAUGGGCGCAAGCCUGAUCCAGCAAUGCCGCGUGGGUGAAGAAGGUCUUCGGAUCGUAAAGCCCUUUCGGCGGGGACGAUGAUGACGGUACCCGCAGAAGAAGCCCCGGCUAACUUCGUGCCAGCAGCCGCGGUAAUACGAAGGGGGCUAGCGUUACUCGGAAUUACUGGGCGUAAAGGGCGCGUAGGCGGCGCUGCAAGUUAGGCGUGAAAGCCCUGGGCUCAACCUGGGGACUGCGCUUAAGACUGCGGUGCUUGAGGAUGGAAAAGGUUUGUGCAAUUCCCACUGUACACGUGAAAUUCGUAAAUAUUGGGAAAACACCGGUGGGAAGGCGAGACCUGGUCAUUUCUGACGCUGAGUCGCGAUAGGGAGGAGCAAGAUGAUUAUAUACCUGCACUCACGCCUGACCAUGUGCGCAGAGUGGUGACCGCUCCUCCCCGCGUGUUAACCGAAAAGCACACUGGGAUACGGGGAAGUAACCUAAGAUUGAGGGCCGCAAAGGG
rnacentral:rRNA from 1 species